GACCGCGGCAAGCGCUUGGGGGUGGGUCCUCGGCUGCCUGCGCGUCUUUCCGGGAAACAAGUCACCUUACUUUGGGGAAGCACGGGUCCUCAAGGACCCGCCUUAUGUACUUGUCGUUGCCGGCCUUCCGUACGAACAGAGUUCAAGUUGUCACCGCUAACCGCAAAAAAGACAGCCCGGAAGGUUUUGAUGGGUGGGCCUGACGGCGGGACGUCUGCGGUACGUGUGACGUCAUCACGUUGACGUGACUUCCUGAGUGGGAGGGAGUGCCCCUUGGAGACCUGCCCGGCACCUAUGGGAAGUUUCAGGUGUGCUGGCUGUCCCUCGCCAUGUGUUUCUAGAAGGGAGGGAAUGGAGAACGAAGAGUCAGAAUUCAGUAAAAGUGAAACUGAAAGUAGCUUGAAAGUUUUUAACUACGUGAAUGGUAUUGAAAUGUUACACUGUUGUUUUUCUCUAACAGUCAACAUCUGUUGACUCCUACUCCUUAACCAAGCACCUUGCUAGGAACUAUGAGAAGAUGCCCUCAUAAUCAGACAGACACACCCCAAAAAAUCAACGUUUACACCGUUAAGUGUGAUUAAGUGUUACGUUAGAGAAAUGCUCCAGGAUCAUUGAAAGUCAUAAGGAACCAGAACAAUUCUUUUGUGUGGGAGAUUGUCCUGUGUGUAAUUCCAGAUGUUCAACAUCCAUAGCUCACACUACAAAUGCCAAGAAGCCAAGUAACUUGGGUAAAUUUCAAAUGCAGGAGACCUGUUUCUUCUCUAUCUUUGGAACUCUGAAAGGAGACCCACCUUUCAGAACCAGAAGCAGACCAUGCCAAGUAAACUUGGCCGCAACUCUGAAUUCUAGCUGGGAGCUUGUCAGGAGUGGCUGCUGUGUAAGGAUGAGGGCUCUCAGAGCUGGAGAUUGAAGAACAGAACACUCUGACUGGAGUUUAGAAGUUUAGACAGCACUAAGGAGUGCCAAGCUGGGACAAAGUCAAUGUGGAGAGAACACCAGGUCCUCACUAAGUUAAGGAUCAAGAGAAAAUGAGCUAAUUGCCAUAAUUGUCAGCACUGGAUUUAAGCAGUGGGCACAGCCCAGAAGUGAAACAAACCAGCCAGCGCACUCCUAAGGACCAGGCUGAAGCCAAAGAGAGCCUGUUUCCCUCAAUUCUUUGAAUGUCCUAAGUCCAACAACACCUUUUCCCUCCAGAAAGCUGCUAUUUGGAAGGAACCUAAACAAGAAGCAGAAUCCUGAAAAAACCUGAAUAAUGCAAGAUGAACUGGGCUAUUACUUGAAGAGGAAAAUUAAAUUAUAGGACCCUACUGCUUCAAGUUGAUGUGGGUUAAAAUUAGUUUAUAUAGUUUUUUUUUCUCACUACCUAGGAGACGUAAAGCUCUUUUGCUUUGCACAUCUGAGUUGUAGUUGAGUCAAUUUGCCACCUCACAAUACAGAAGUUUAGCUGCAGACAUGAAGAUGUCAUUCACGAGAAGAGUGAAUGAAGCACACACAGUUUAAAUGUCCUUGCCAAAGCUAAAGCUGAAAAAAAGAAGGACAAUUUUUUUGUUUAUUUUUGAGAGAAGGAGAGACAGAGCAUGAGCAGGAUAGAGCAGAGAGAGAGAGAGAGAGAGAGAGAGAGGGACACACACACACACACACACACACACACACACAGAAUCCAAAGCAGCCUCCAGGCUCUGAGCUGUCAGCACAGCCCAACACAGAGCUCGAACUCAUAAACUGAACUCACCACAAGAUCAUGACCAGAGCCAAAGUCAGGUGCUUAACCAACUGAGCCACUUAGGUGCCCCCAAAGAAGGGCAAUUUUAACUAUACUUGACCUUAGUAAAAAAACAACAA